GACAGAGGGUGCAAACGUUGUUCGGAAUUACUGGGCGUAAAGCGCGUGUAGGCGGCUUGGCAAGUCGGGUGUGAAAGCCCUGGGCUUAACCUAGGAAGUGCACACGAAACUGCCGAGCUUGAGUUCUGGAGAGGAAGGCGGAAUUCUCGGUGUAGAGGUGAAAUUCGUAGAUAUCGAGAGGAACACCGGUGGCGAAGGCGGCCUUCUGGACAGCGACUGACGCUGAGACGCGAAAGCGUGGGGAGCGAACAGG
rnacentral:rRNA from 1 species